GAUGAAGAACGCAGCGAAAUGCGAUAAGUAAUGUGAAUUGCAGAAUUCAGUGAAUCAUCGAAUCUUUGAACGCACAUUGCGCCCCUUGGUAUUCCGAGGGGCAUGCCUGUUCGAGCGUCAUUAUAACCCCUCAAGCUCAGCUUGGUGUUGGGGCCUGCCGCACGGGCAGCCCUUAAAAUCAGUGGCGGUGCCAUCUGGCUCUAAGCGUAGUAAUUCUUCUCGCUAUAGAGUCCUGGUGGAUGCUUGCCAUUAACCCCCAAUUUUCUAUGGUUGACCUCGGAUCAGGUAGGGAUACCCGCUGAACUUAAGCAUAUCAAUAAGCGGAGGA
rnacentral:misc_RNA from 1 species